GGUUUCGUGUGAACAGCCGUUGCACACGAGUCAGUCGAUCCUAAGCCCUAGGAGAAAUCCUAUGUCAAUGACGGCGUACUUAUACUCAAGUGUUUACUCUCUGUCUCGUCGUCGUCCGUCGUCGUCGCACUCUCGUCGCGCGUGACGCGCGCGCCCGCUUGCCGGGCGACGCUGUACGUCGCGCUGAACGACGAGCUGUGUGUGCGCGCGCGCGCGAGCUCAAGUGCUGUGACACACGCCCGUCGGGCGAAAGGGAAUCCGGUUCCUAUUCCGGAACCCGGCAGCGGAACCGCAUACAAUUCGGGCCCUCGUAAGAGUGUUCGUCGGGGUAACCCAAAAUGACCUGGAGACGCCGUCGGGAGAUCCGGGAAGAGUUUUCUUUUCUGUAUAAGCGUUCGAGUUCCCUGGAAACCUCUAGCAGGGAGAUAGGGUUUGGAACGCGAAGAGCACCGCAGUUGCGGCGGUGUCCGGAUCUUCCCCUCGGACCUUGAAAAUCCAGGAGAGGGCCA
rnacentral:ncRNA from 1 species